GCGGGAAUAGCUCAGUGGUAGAGCACAACCUUGCCAAGGUUGGGGCCGCGGGUUCGAUCCCCGUUUCCCGCU
rfam:Helicobacter mustelae 12198 complete genome